rnacentral:rRNA from 1 species
CCUACGGGAGGCAGCAGUGGGGAAUAUUGGACAAUGGGGGCAACCCUGAUGCAGCCAUGCCGCGUGAGUGAAGAAGGUCUUCGGAUUGUAAAGCUCUUUCAGACGUGACGAAAAUGACGGUAGCUUCUAAAGAAGCACCGGCAAACUUCGUGCCAGCAGCCGCGGUAAUACGAAGGGGGCGAGCGUUGUUCGGAUUUACUGGGGGUAAAGGGAGUGUAGGCGGCGACGUAAGACAGCGGUGAAAUGCCAGGGCUCAACACCGGAACUGCUAUUGUGACUAUGUAUCUAGAGUAAAGGAGAGGAUAGUGGAAUACCCAGUGUAGCGGUGAAAUUCGUAGAUAUUGGGUAGAACACCAGUGGCGAAGGCGGCUAUCUGGCCAGUUACUGACGCUGAGGCUCGAAAGCAUGGGGAUCAAACAGGAUUAGAUACCCGGGUAGUC